rnacentral:rRNA from 1 species
CACGAGCGCACCCGUGUUGCUAGUUACCAGUGUCUAGCGAGACUGCCGGUAACAAGCCGGAGGAAGGUGCGGAUGAUGUCAAGUCAGCAUGGCCUAUAUGUCCAGGGCUACAACACGCUACAAUGGCUGGUACAAAGGGAAGCGAAGGGAGACCUGAAGCGAAUCCCAUCAAAGCCAGUCAUAGUUCGGAUUGCAGGCUGCAACUCGCCUGCAUGAAGCCGGAGUUGCUAGUAACCGCAGGUCAGCAAUACUGCGGUGAAUACGUUCCCGGGCCU